rnacentral:rRNA from 1 species
UACAGAGGGCUCAACCGUUGUUCGGAUUCAUUGGGCGUAAAGGGUGCGUAGGCGGCGGGGUAAGUCAGGGGGGAAAUCCUGGAGCUCAACUCCAGAACUGCCUUUGAUACUGAAGAUCUUGAGUUCGGGAGAGGUGAGUGGAACUGCGAGUGUAGAGGUGAAAUUCGUAGAUAUUCGCAAGAACACCAGUGGCGAAGGCGGCUCACUGGCCCGAUACUGACGCUGAGGCACGAAAGCGUGGGGAGCAAACAGG